UACGCAGGGGGCAAGCGUUGUCCGGAUUUAUUGGGCGUAAAGAGCGUGUAGGCGGCCAUACAGGUCAGCUGUGAAAACUCGAGGCUCAACCUCGAGACGUCGGUUGAAACCGUAUGGCUAGAGUCCGGAAGAGGAGAGUGGAAUUCCCGGUGUAGCGGUGAAAUGCGCAGAUAUCGGGAAGAACACCCGUGGCGAAGGCGGCUCUCUGGGACGGUACUGACGCUGAGACGCGAAAGCGUGGGGAGCGAACAGG
rnacentral:rRNA from 1 species